rnacentral:rRNA from 1 species
UACGGAGGAUUCAAGCGUUAUCCGGAUUUACUGGGUGUAAAGGGAGCGUAGACGGCGAUGCAAGUCUGAAGUGAAAGCCCGGGGCUCAACCCCGGGACUGCUUUGGAAACUGCCUGACUGGAGUGCUGGAGAGGCAAGCGGAAUUCCUAGUGUAGCGGUGAAAUGCGUAGAUAUUAGGAGGAACACCAGCGGCGAAGGCGGCUUACUGGACCGUGACUGACGUUGAGGCUCGAAAGCGUGGGGAGCAAACAGG